UGGGCGCUGAAAGAUGCGUAGCUACCCUUCUGGAGCCACUUCCUGGUGGUAAGCAGAAAUCCAAGGGUACGGUGGUACGGUGGAAAGCAGUCCC
rfam:Satellite tobacco necrosis virus RNA sequence.